GGUUAAGCGACUAAGCGUACACGGUGGAUGCCCUGGCAGUCAGAGGCGAUGAAGGGCGUGCUAAUCUGCGAUAAGCGCCGGUAAGGUGAUAUGAACCGUUAUAACCGGCGAUACCCGAAUGGGGAAACCCAGUGUGACUCGUCACACUAUCAUUAACUGAAUCCAUAGGUUAAUGAGGCGAACCGGGGGAACUGAAACAUCUAAGUACCCCGAGGAAAAGAAAUCAACCGAGAUUCCCCCAGUAGCGGCGAGCGAACGGGGAGGAGCCCAGAGCCUGAAUCAGCAUGUGUGUUAGUGGAAGCGUCUGGAAAGGCGCGCGAUACAGGGUGACAGCCCCGUACACAAAAGCGCAUGUGCUGUGAGCUCGAUGAGUAGGGCGGGACACGUGGUAUCCUGUCUGAAUAUGGGGGGACCAUCCUCCAAGGCUAAAUACUCCUGACUGACCGAUAGUGAACCAGUACCGUGAGGGAAAGGCGAAAAGAACCCCGGCGAGGGGAGUGAAAAAGAACCUGAAACCGUGUACGUACAAGCAGUGGGAGCCCCACCACCAAAGCAUUCUCUGGUGUUGAAGGCCCUGCAAAGCAGCAUCGCGGUGGCGGAGCGUCGUUUGCGACGCCCAACACACAAAACAAGCGGUGAAUGCUUUGGGGUGGGGUGACUGCGUACCUUUUGUAUAAUGGGUCAGCGACUUAUAUUCUGUAGCAAGGUUAACCGAAUAGGGGAGCCGGAGGGAAACCGAGUCUUAAUUGGGCGUUAAGUUGCAGGGUAUAGACCCGAAACCCGGUGAUCUAGCCAUGGGCAGGUUGAAGGUUGGGUAACACUAACUGGAGGACCGAACCGACUAAUGUUGAAAAAUUAGCGGAUGACCUGUGGCUGGGGGUGAAAGGCCAAUCAAACCGGGAGAUAGCUGGUUCUCCCCGAAAGCUAUUUAGGUAGCGCCUCGUGAAUUCAUCUCCGGGGGUAGAGCACUGUUUCGGCUAGGGGGCCAUCCCGGCUUACCAACCCGAUGCAAACUGCGAAUACCGGAGAAUGUUAUCACGGGAGACACACGGCGGGUGCUAACGUCCGUCGUGAAGAGGGAAACAACCCAGACCGCCAGCUAAGGUCCCAAAGUCAUGGUUAAGUGGGAAACGAUGUGGGAAGGCCCAGACAGCCAGGAUGUUGGCUUAGAAGCAGCCAUCAUUUAAAGAAAGCGUAAUAGCUCACUGGUCGAGUCGGCCUGCGCGGAAGAUGUAACGGGGCUAAACCAUGCACCGAAGCUGCGGCAGCGAACGUAUCACUUAAAGCGAUUCAGCGGGUUACGAUUGACGGAGCGAAGCGACGUCAAAGCGUAUACAAAGUCGAGUCGGUUUAAGGAUACGUUCGUUGGGUAGGGGAGCGUUCUGUAAGCCCGUGAAGGUGGCCUGUGAGGGUUGCUGGAGGUAUCAGAAGUGCGAAUGCUGACAUAAGUAACGAUAAAGCGGGUGAAAAGCCCGCUCGCCGGAAGACCAAGGGUUCCUGUCCAACGUUAAUCGGGGCAGGGUGAGUCGACCCCUAAGGCGAGGCCGAAAGGCGUAGUCGAUGGGAAACGGGUUAAUAUUCCCGUACUUGGUGUUACUGCGAAGGGGGGACGGAGAAGGCUAUGUUGGCCGGGCGACGGUUGUCCCGGUUUAAGCGUGUAGGUGUGUGUUCCAGGUAAAUCCGGUUCACUUUAACACUGAGGCGUGAUGACGAGGCACUACGGUGCUGAAGCAACAAAUGCCCUGCUUCCAGGAAAAGCCUCUAAGCAUCAGGUAACAUCAAAUCGUACCCCAAACCGACACAGGUGGUCAGGUAGAGAAUACCAAGGCGCUUGAGAGAACUCGGGUGAAGGAACUAGGCAAAAUGGUGCCGUAACUUCGGGAGAAGGCACGCUGACACGUAGGUGAAGUGAUUUACUCACGGAGCUGAAGUCAGUCGAAGAUACCAGCUGGCUGCAACUGUUUAUUAAAAACACAGCACUGUGCAAACACGAAAGUGGACGUAUACGGUGUGACGCCUGCCCGGUGCCGGAAGGUUAAUUGAUGGGGUCAGCGCAAGCGAAGCUCCUGAUCGAAGCCCCGGUAAACGGCGGCCGUAACUAUAACGGUCCUAAGGUAGCGAAAUUCCUUGUCGGGUAAGUUCCGACCUGCACGAAUGGCGUAAUGAUGGCCAGGCUGUCUCCACCCGAGACUCAGUGAAAUUGAACUCGCUGUGAAGAUGCAGUGUACCCGCGGCAAGACGGAAAGACCCCGUGAACCUUUACUAUAGCUUGACACUGAACAUUGAGCCUUGAUGUGUAGGAUAGGUGGGAGGCUUUGAAGUGUGGACGCCAGUCUGCAUGGAGCCGACCUUGAAAUACCACCCUUUAAUGUUUGAUGUUCUAACGUGGACCCGUGAUCCGGGUUGCGGACAGUGUCUGGUGGGUAGUUUGACUGGGGCGGUCUCCUCCUAAAGAGUAACGGAGGAGCACGAAGGUUGGCUAAUCCUGGUCGGACAUCAGGAGGUUAGUGCAAUGGCAUAAGCCAGCUUGACUGCGAGCGUGACGGCGCGAGCAGGUGCGAAAGCAGGUCAUAGUGAUCCGGUGGUUCUGAAUGGAAGGGCCAUCGCUCAACGGAUAAAAGGUACUCCGGGGAUAACAGGCUGAUACCGCCCAAGAGUUCAUAUCGACGGCGGUGUUUGGCACCUCGAUGUCGGCUCAUCACAUCCUGGGGCUGAAGUAGGUCCCAAGGGUAUGGCUGUUCGCCAUUUAAAGUGGUACGCGAGCUGGGUUUAGAACGUCGUGAGACAGUUCGGUCCCUAUCUGCCGUGGGCGCUGGAGAACUGAGGGGGGCUGCUCCUAGUACGAGAGGACCGGAGUGGACGCAUCACUGGUGUUCGGGUUGUCAUGCCAAUGGCACUGCCCGGUAGCUAAAUGCGGAAGAGAUAAGUGCUGAAAGCAUCUAAGCACGAAACUUGCCCCGAGAUGAGUUCUCCCUGAGACUUAGAGUCUCCUGAAGGAACGUUGAAGACGACGACGUUGAUAGGCCGGGUGUGUAAGCGCAGCGAUGCGUUGAGCUAACCGGUACUAAUGAACCGUGAGGCUUAACCUU
rnacentral:rRNA from 1 species